rnacentral:rRNA from 1 species
GACGAACGCUGGCGGCGCGCUUAACACAUGCAAGUCGAGCGAAGCGGCGGACGGGUGAGUAACACGUGAGUAACCUGCCUUAGACAUUGGGAUAGCCCCGGGAAACCGGGAUUAAUACCAAAUGGUCUAAGAUGGACUCGGUCCCAAUUAGCUAGUUGGUGAGGUAACGGCCCACCAAGGCGACGAUGGGUAGCCGGCAUGAGAGGGGGAACGGCCACAUUGGAACUGAGUAACGGUCCGAACUCUACGGGAUGCAGCAGUGGGGAAUAUUGCACAAGGGAGGGAACUCUGAUGCAGCGACGCCGCGUGAACGAAGAAGGCUUUCGAGUCGUAAAGUUCUUUUAUAUGGGAAGCGGUACCAUAAGAAAAAGCCCCGGCUAACUACGUGCCAGCCGCCGCGGUAAUUC